UACGGAGGGUGCGAGCGUUGUCCGGAAUCACUGGGCGUAAAGGGCGCGUAGGCGGUCGGGUCAGCGUGUGGUGAAAGCCCGGGGCUCAACCCCGGGUCGGCCAGGCGAACUGCCGGACUGGAGCCGAUCAGGGGCAGGCGGAAUUCCGGGUGUAGCGGUGGAAUGCGUAGAGAUCCGGAGGAACACCAAAGGCGAAGGCAGUGUCCUGGGGAGUACCUGACGCUCAGGUGCGAAAGCCAGGGGAGCGAACGGG
rnacentral:rRNA from 1 species